GGUGUAAUGAAUCUAUAUCAAGUGUAUAUGAGGUGGUGUUUGUGCUGAGCAGUGUACAUGAGGUGGUGUUUGUGCUAAGCAGUGUACAUGAGGUGGUGUUUGUGCUAAGCAGUGUACAUGAGGUGGUGUUUGUGCUGAGCAGUGUACAUGAGGUGGUGUUUGUGCUAAGCAGUGUACAUGAGGUGGUGUUUGUGCUGAGCAGUGUACAUGAGGUGGUGUUUGUGCUGAGCAGUGUACAUGAGGUGGUGUUUGUGGAGAGC